GGUAGUAGCAAAUAUUCAAAUGAGAGCUUUGAAGACCGAAGUGGAGAAAGGUUCCAUGUGAACAGCAGUUGGACAUGGGUUAGUCGAUCCUAAGAGAUAGGGAAAUUCCGUUUGCAAGCGCCCGAUCUUGGGCCGCCUAUCGAAAGGGAAUCGGGUUAAUAUUCCCGAACCGGGACGCGGAUAUUGCCGUUCUCGGCAAAUGCGGUAACGCAAACGAACCCGAAGACGCUAGCGGGGGCCCUGGGAAGAGUUCUCUUUUCUUUUUAACGAGCUUUCACCCUGAAAUCAGCUUGCCUGGAGAUAGGGUUUAAUGCUCGGUAAAGCACCACACUUCUUGUGGUGUCCGGUGCGCUCUCGACGGCCCUUGAAAAUUCGGGGAAGACAUUGAUUUUCGUGUCCGGUCGUACUCAUAACCGCAGCAGGUCUCCAAGGUGAGCAGCCUCUGGUU
rnacentral:rRNA from 1 species